rnacentral:rRNA from 1 species
UACGGGGGGGGCAAGCGUUGUUCGGAAUUACUGGGCGUGAAGGGCUCGUAGGCGGCCAACUAAGUCGGAUGUGAAAUCCCCAGGCUCAACCUGGGAACUGCAUCCGAUACUGGAUGGCUUGAAUCCGGGAGAGGGAUGCAGAAUUCCAGGUGUAGCGGUGAAAUGCGUAGAUAUCUGGAGGAGUACCGGUGGCGAAGGCGGCAUCCUGGACCGGCAUUGACGCUGAGGAGCGAAAGCUAGGGGAGCGAACCGG